UUUUAGUAGAGAUGGGUUUCACCGUGUUGGCCAGGUUGAUCUGGAACUCCUGACCUCAGGUGAUCCACCCGCCUCUGCCUCCCAGAGUGCUGGGAUUACAGGCGUGAACCACUGCGCGUGGCUGUCCUUUCAGCUUUUAGAUAGAAGGGAGAAAGAGGUCAACUCAGAUAUCCAGAACCAAACUAAUGAAGUUAUAUUGUUCUUUUCUAUUUCUGAUCAAAUACGUUUCUAAACAGCCAUUCCAGGCUCUAAUAUAACAAGUAUAACACAACUUGUAUUCUAGCAGUGUGGGGAUUCAUGUCCAUGUCUACAAAACAUUCUUCCUCUCCCCAAUUUUCCUAAUGGCUUACAACUUAAUAUUUUAAACACUUAUAGAAAAUUUCAAAAAAUGCAAAAAAAUAAAAAAUAAAAAUAAUGCAACCAUAUCUCAACUAUGACAAUAAUCAACUAAUGGCCAAUCUAGCUUCCUUCACACUCCUACUCAUUUUCCUUGCCCCCAACAACCUAGAUUUUUCUCCAUCAUAGUACUGCAGCUGCAAAUAUUUUUGUACAUAUGCUUAAAAGAUAAGGACUCCUUUUUUGAACAUCAUCACACUGCCCCAAAAGCAACAAUAGAUGCUUAAUAUCAUCACAUAUUCAGUGUUCACAUUCCCUAAUUGUCCUUAUAAAUGUCCUCUUAAAAAUCUUUGCUUGCCUAUUGGGAAAAAUUAGUCAUAUUAAAAAAUUGUUUGAAAGUUUGUUGUUUGGGGCUGGG
rnacentral:lncRNA from 1 species